rnacentral:rRNA from 1 species
GGCUGGCCACGGGUGAGUGUAAUGUGGGUGCCGGCCUUUUGUUUGGCGUUAACACUUUGAAAGUUGGGCCUUUUCCGGAUUAGCCCUUAGUGGGAAAGUUUUAACGCCAACAGAUGGGCCCGCACUUGAUAGCUAGUUGGUGAGGUAAUUGCUCACCAAGGCAACGAUCAAUAUUUGUUGUUAGAGGAAUACCGCCCGCGUUGGUACUGAGACACGGCCCAAACUCAUACGGGAGGCAGCAGUGGGGAAUCUUGCACAAUGGGGGAAACCCUGAUGCAGCGAUGCCGCGUGAGUGAAGAAGGCCUUUGGGUUGUAAAACUCUUUCGUCGGGGAAGAAAAUGACUGUACCCGAAUAAGAAGGUCCGGCUAACUUCGUGCCAGCAGCCGCGGUAAUACGAAGGGACCUAGCGUAGUUCGGAAUUACUGGGCUUAAAGAGCUCGUAGGUGGUUAAAAAAGUUGAUGGUGAAAUCCCAAGGCUCAACCUUGGAACUGCCAUCAAAACUUUUUAGCUAGAGUAUGAUAGAGGUAAGUGGAAUUUCUAGUGUAGAGGUGAAAUUCGUAGAUAUUAGAAAGAACACCAAAUGCGAAGGCAACUUACUGGAUCAUUACUGACACUGAGGAGCGAAAGCAUGGGUAGCGAAAGGGAUUAGAUACCUCGGUAGUCAUGCGA